UGGCAGAUGGACCGGCGGAGGAUAUUUAUUUUCACACAAUCUUAAUCUUUACUUGGACUAUAUUUUCAACUUGGUAUGAAAACAUGAUUGUUGUCUUGGCAGAUGGACCGUCGGAGUCGUCUGCAUCGUGAAAGCUCGGGCCGGCCGCGGACCGGCGAGCGACCCCCAGAACUUGUAUGCAAAGAGAAGAAGGGAGAAGAUCAACGACAAGCUUCGGGUUUUGCAGAAGCUGGUGCCCAACGGAACCAAAGUGGAUCUCAGCACUAUGCUCGAGGAGGCAGUCCUCUACGUUAAGUUUUUGCAGCUACGGAUCAAAACGAGCUCUCCAAUGGUAGAAUUUGGGAGUGCAAAUAUCCUUGGUUCCAGCCGAUGCUGCUUCCCCUAAGU